rnacentral:tRNA from 1 species
GCCUUCGUGGUGUAAUGGUCAGCACACUGAGCCGGUAUUUCGGAGGUCGUGGUUCGAUCCCCGGCGAAGGCA